UACGAAGGGGGCUGGCGUUGCUCGGAAUCACUGGGCGUAAAGGGUGCGUAGGCGGGUCUUUAAGUCAGGGGUGAAAUCCUGGAGCUCAACUCCAGAACUGCCUUUGAUACUGAGGAUCUUGAGUUCGGGAGAGGUGAGUGGAACUGCGAGUGUAGAGGUGAAAUUCGUAGAUAUUCGCAAGAACACUAGUGGCGAAGGCGGCUCACUGGCCCGAUACUGACGCUGAGGCACGAAAGCGUGGGGAGCAAACAGG
rnacentral:rRNA from 1 species